UACGAAGGUGUCGAACGUUGUCCGGAAUUACUGGGCGUAAAGGGCGCGUAGGUGGCUUGGCAAGCGUGUGGUGAAAGCCCGGGGCUCAACCCCGGGUCUGCCGUGCGAACUGCUAUGGCUUGAGCACUGUAGAGGCAGGUAGGAUUCCGGGUGUAGCGGUGGAAUGCGUAGAGAUCCGGAAGAAUACCGGUGGCGAAGGCGGCCUGCUGGGCAGUGGCUGACACUGAGGCGCGACAGCGUGGGGAGCAAACAGG
rnacentral:rRNA from 1 species